rnacentral:rRNA from 1 species
UCGGGAAUUUUGGGCAAUGGGCGAAAGCCUGACCCAGCAACGCCGCGUGAAGGAUGAAGUAUUUCGGUAUGUAAACUUCGAAAGAAUAGGAAGAAUAAAUGACGGUACUAUUUAUAAGGUCCGGCUAACUACGUGCCAGCAGCCGCGGUAAUACGUAGGGAGCAAGCGUUGUUCGGAUUUACUGGGCGUAAAGGGCGCGUAGGCGGCGCGGUAAGUCACUUGUGAAAUCUCUGAGCUUAACUCAGAACGGCCAAGUGAUACUGCAGUGCUAGAGUGCAGAAGGGGCAAUCGGAAUUCUUGGUGUAGCGGUGAAAUGCGUAGAUAUCAAGAGGAACACCUGAGGUGAAGACGGGUUGCUGGGCUGACACUGACGCUGAGGCGCGAAAGCCAGGGGAGCAAACGGGAUUAGAUACCCCAGUAGUCCCUGAGCGGGCUGGCAAGGCGCAU